rnacentral:tRNA from 1 species
GUGGCCGUAGCUCAAGUGGUUAGAGCGCCAGGUUGUGGUCCUGGAGGCUGGGGGUUCAAGUCCCCUCGGUCACC